rnacentral:rRNA from 1 species
AUUGAACGCUGGCGGCAGGCCUAACACAUGCAAGUCGAGCGAGCGGCGGACGGGUGCGUAAUGUAUGGGGACUGCCCGAUAGAGGGGGAUAACUACUGGAAACGGUAGCUAAUACCGCAUACUAUCGGAUAACCCAUAUGGGAUUAGCUAGUAGGUGAGGUAAUGGCUCACCUAGGCGACGAUCCCUAGCUGGUCUGAGAGGAUGAUUAGCCACACUGGGACUGAGACACGGCCCAGAAUCCGACGGAGGCAGCAGUGGUGAAGAGUGCACAAUGGGCGCAAGCCUGAUGCAGCCAUGCCGCGUGUAUGACGAAGGCCUGAGGGUUGUAAAGUACUUUCAGUCGGGAGGCGUUACCGACAGAAGAGGCACCGGCUAACUCCGGGCCAGCAGCCGCGGUAAUAC